rnacentral:rRNA from 1 species
UACGGAGAGGUCUAGUGAUGCUCGGUAUGACUGGGCGUAAAGGGCGCGUAGGCGGACUGCACAGUCAGGCGUGAAAUUCCUGGGCUUAACAUGGGGACUGCGUCUGAGACGUGUUAUCUAGAGUGAGGAAGAGGGUCGUGGAAUUUCCAGUGUAGAGGUGAAAUUCGUAGAUAUUGGAAAGAACACCGGUGGCGAAGGCGGCGACCUGGUCCUUGACUGACGCUGAGGCACGAAAGCGUGGGGAGCAAACAGG